CUAGAAUACUGGUAAUCGCUGUUAAUAAAAUAACAGAGGAAAGUCCGAACUCCAUAGAACAGUACACUUCCUAACGGGAAGAGCUACUUUUAAGUAGUAUGGAAAGUGCAGCAGAAAGUAAACCGCCCACUUCGGUGGGUAAGGGUGAAAGGGUGGGGUAAGAGCCUACCGCAAUUUGGGUGACCAAAUUGGCAAGGUAAACCCUGUACGGAGCAAGGUUAAAUAAGAGUAUGAUUUCAGGCUGUUCGUUUGAGUUGUCUUAGGACAUGCAUACUUGGGUAAACCGCAAGAGAUACUUGGCGACAAGUAUCCUAGAUAAAUGAUUACCUCCUCAUUUAAUAAAUGAGAAGACAGGAUUCGGCUUAUAGUAUUUUUAGUUUU
rnacentral:RNase_P_RNA from 1 species